CGAGGUCUGCCUCGUGCGUGGAAGUCAUGGCUGUUCUGCUCCGUGCCGAUCCCGGCCUUUCGUUGGCAUCUGCAAAGACGAUGAGCUUAAAAGCAGUGGAUGGAGACAGGCCAGGAUCUGGGCGGUCCCCAAGAAAGCAGAGAUGGUGUAAUGGUCUGUCUGCCUUGUAUUUACUUCUGAAAUUAAAUUCAGCUGUACGCGUGCAUGCAUGCUGGUCUUAAGUCCCUUUAGGAUUGAAGGUGCUGGCUGUGGACUUUGAAAGAAGUCAUAUGAAAACUCAGCGUAUAAUGUUGAGCUGAAGGAUCUUCAUGGUGCAAUUUCUAUAAAUGGAGGUGCUGUGUAUGCAGCUGGCCUUCAUUAGGCUAGCUGAAAUGAUGAGUGAACUAUACUAUCUCAGGCAUUUUAUUACCUGCUAAAAUGCAUACCGCCUACUGAAUUCUCAGACACUGCUGAGUGACCCUGUCUUAAAGGCAUGGUGGUGCACUCUUGUAAUCCCAGCACUCGGGAGGCU